GACGAACGCGGGCGGCGUGCUUAACACAUGCAAGUCGAACGAUGAAGCCUAGCUUGCUAGGUGGAUUAGUGGCGAACGGGUGAGUAAUACGUGAGUAACCUACCUUUAACUCUGGGAUAAGCCUGGGAAACUGGGUCUAAUACCGGAUACGACCAAUCUCCGCAUGGGGUGUUGGUGGAAAGCGUUAUGUAGUGGUUAUAGAUGGGCUCACGGCCUAUCAGCUUGUUGGUGAGGUAACGGCUCACCAAGGCGACGACGGGUAGCCGGCCUGAGAGGGUGACCGGCCACACUGGGACUGAGACACGGCCCAGACUCCUACGGGAGGCAGCAGUGGGGAAUAUUGCACAAUGGGCGAAAGCCUGAUGCAGCGACGCCGCGUGAGGGAUGACGGCCUUCGGGUUGUAAACCUCUUUCGCUCAUGGUCAAGCCGCAGCUUUGGGUUGUGGUGAGGGUAGUGGGUAAAGAAGCGCCGGCUAACUACGUGCCAGCAGCCGCGGUAAUACGUAGGGCGCGAGCGUUGUCCGGAAUUAUUGGGCGUAAAGGGCUUGUAGGCGGUUGGUCGCGUCUGCCGUGAAAUCCUCUGGCUUAACUGGGGGCGUGCGGUGGGUACGGGCUGACUUGAGUGCGGUAGGGGAGACUGGAACUCCUGGUGUAGCGGUGGAAUGCGCAGAUAUCAGGAAGAACACCGGUGGCGAAGGCGGGUCUCUGGGCCGUUACUGACGCUGAGGAGCGAAAGCGUGGGGAGCGAACAGG
rnacentral:rRNA from 1 species